rnacentral:tRNA from 1 species
AGGUAAUUAGCUCAGAGGUAGAGCAUCUCUUUUACAAGGAGAGGGUCAUUGGUUCAAGUCCAAUAUUACCUA